UACGAAGGGGGCUAGCGUUGCUCGGAAUCACUGGGCGUAAAGGGUGCGUAGGCGGGUCUUUUAAGUCAGGGGUGAAAUCCUGGAGCUCAACUCCAGAACUGCCUUUGAUACUGAGGAUCUUGAGUUCGGGAGAGGUGAGUGGAACUGCGAGUGUAGAGGUGAAAUUCGUAGAUAUUCGCAAGAACACCAGUGGCGAAGGCGGCUCACUGGCCCGAUACUGACGCUGAGGCACGAAAGCGAUGGGGAGCA
rnacentral:rRNA from 1 species